UUGAGAGAGGCUGAUGCUGCCUACCUUGAAGAAGGCAGUCAUACAUUGUCUCCUCAGGAAACUGCCCUUCAAAUUUGGGAUAAUUAUAAACCAGUUACCAACCUUCCCUUUCUAGUGAAGAUUGCUGAGAAUAUGGGGCUGCAGCUGCAUAGAACCCUGGAAGAAACAUGUCAUCUAGAACAUCUGGAUUGAAGCUUGGUUUACCAGGUGGGACACUGAGACUAAACCAGUGAUGAAAUCCUCUGUGGUUUGCCACCACUGCUAAAGGAGCCUUAAGAAGGCUCUACUAUUUUGGUUACACUGUCUUCUGAUGAAGAAUUCUGAAGCACUCAAAAUCUUGUUCAAUGUUUUGUAACUUUGAAUUUACCAAAAAGAUACAUUAUGCGAAGACCCAGCUCUCUGAAAAAGGCUGCAAUGCUAGAACAGUUAGAAGAAAAGAGAAGAAGAGACUGACCAGCAGCAAGAUGGAUGGACUUAGUUAAGUGACAAAGUGUGCACUCUUGGAAGACUUGAAAGAACACUGAGGGAUAGAUCUACAUAAAGAAAAUCUAUCUGGCUGGGAGGAAUAAAAAAAGACUGGAAGGCAUGAAAUUAAUCUUAUUCCCUGCUAACCUUAGCACUUUCCAGUCAUUGCUCAAUAAUUUAAUUUCCCGCCCCCUCAAUUUCAGGCACACUAUUGGUGGCUCAUUGUUUACAUUUUUUCCAUAACUUUCCAAAACUAAAUUUUAUUUCCAUCAAAAUAAUUCUGCACUUUUCACUACAUUUUAAAAAUACUAACUAUUCCUUGUUCUUUCUGAAUACAUCUUGUGCAAUUUUUUCUCUAUAUACGUAUUAAACAAUAUGUUUCACCCUAAUUUUUCUACAGCAAGCAUCCUCUUAUAUUCAUUGUUUUCUCUAAUCCAUAGUGUAACAUUUUUUUUAGUUUCCACAUCCUUUCAUUAUGUCCACUUCCCAUUUUUGAUGGAUGAUUAAUUUACAUGUAGUGUUUUUGUGCCUUGUACAUUAUUCCUGCAGUCAUUCUGCUUUUAUUGUAGUGUCUUAUUUCCUUUUUUUGUCCAUUCUCUAACAACACUCUUGAUUCUACUAAUACAUUCAGAACCAGACAUUACUCUUGUAAUAUUCAGUAAUUUUAUUCAGCCCUUCAUAUUAAGCUUCUUGAUCCUUCAUGAAAAACAAUCAAAUCAUGCUUUA